GCUCCCGGCAUUUCACUGUGAGCUCUCCCUCCUCUGUUCUCCAUCCAGUUGUGGAAUACCAAGCAUUUCUUUACCCCAGUGCAGUAGCUGGUGCAUAGGACCCAGUGAAGAGUACAGUGGGAUAUUUAUUUUACAUCUGUUCCUGUGUUCUUGAGUAUUAAUAAUGCUGUGAAAAGCUAGAUGCUGGAAGGAUUGGUACAUAACACAGUCCAAGAGUUUUGCCUGCCAAGCAAUAGCACUUGGAAAUAAAUAGAGACAAAAAGUAAUACAAUAUCCUGAAGAACAGCUUCAAAAUGAUGAGCAGCACCACAGCCUGCCUUUCAGAUAAACCUUAUCCCAGCAAGUGUACUGGUACUUGAAAGAGUCCUUGAAUAACCUGCACGGAAGCUGAACCACCAGAGAGGCGCUACGUCGGAAAAGCAAGCAGAGGAAGGUACCAGAAGCAGUGCAGAGGAAACACUUCUGAAGGUUUCUAGGGUGUAAGCUGUGCGAAGUGGCGAGAGUACACGUCAUCUGCGUGGCUCUGAAUAAGCUGUGUAUUUCCCACUGGACUUGUGGCCAAAGCCUGCCCACGAAGGACCAAGCUUGACUGAACGAGAUGUGUUCCUCAGCAU